AUCAACUUUCGAUGGUAGGAUAGAGGCCUACCAUGGUGGUAACGGGUAACGGGGUGUUAGGGCACGACACCGGAGAGGGAGCCUGAGAAACGGCUACCACAUCCAAGGAUGGCAGCAGGCGCGCAAAUUACCCAAUCCCGACACGGGGAGGUAGUGACAAUAAAUAACAAUACGGGGUUCUUUCGGAUCUCGUAAUUGGAAUGAGUACAAUUUAAAUCUCUUAACGAGGAACAAUUGGAGGGCAAGUCUGGUGCCAGCAGCCGCGGUAAUUCCAGCUCCAAUAGCGUAUAUUAAAGUUGUUGCAGUUAAAAAGCUCGUAGUUGAAUUUCGGGGUUAGUAAGUUGGUCAUGCCUUCGGUAUGAACUGGCUUUACUGAUUCCUCCUUCUUGAUGAACUGUAAUGUCAUUAAUUUGGUGUUGCAGGGAAUCAGGACUGUUACUUUGAAAAAAUUAGAGUGUUUAAAGCAGGCAUAAGCUUGAAUACGUUAGCAUGGAAUAAUGAAAUAGGACGUUUGAUCCUAUUUUGUUGGUUUCUAGGAUUGACGUAAUGAUUAAUAGGGAUAGUUGGGGGCAUUAGUAUUCAAUUGUCAGAGGUGAAAUUCUUGGAUUUAUUGAAGACUAACUACUGCGAAAGCAUUUGCCAAGGAUGUUUUCAUUAAUCAAGAACGAAAGUUAGGGGAUCGAAGACGAUCAGAUACCGUCGUAGUCUUAACCAUAAACUAUGCCGACUAGGGAUCGGAUGAUGUUAUUUUUAAUGACUCAUUCGGCGCCUUACGGGAAACCAAAGUGUUUGGGUUC
rnacentral:rRNA from 1 species